AUGGACCGGGCCAGGCUGCAUGGGGGCCUGGCUGAGCCGCUGCCUCCCCCCUCCCCUGUCCAGGCAGGGCAAGGGCUGUGGGUGGCCAGGGCCCCUCUCCCCAGCCUCCUUCCUCUGCACCCCACCCACCCUGGGAACCACUCUCGGCCCCUCUCAUUCUAUCACAGGCUCCCUCUCUUCUCCUCUGUCCCCUCCUCUGCCACACAUUUUCCUCCACAAGCUGGUGCCCUCACCUGCAGUUCCCUCCCUGCGCGGUGUCCCCGAGGGCCCCCAGGCCACUGCCCCCUCCUGCCCUUCCUUCCUCCACCUCCUCCUCUUUUCCCACUCUCCUCCUCCGCUUCAUCCCUCUGCCAUCCUCCUCCUCCUCCUUUCUUCCCCCUCCCCCUCCCCAGCCACCUUCCUCCUCCUCCUCCUCCCUCCUCCUUCCAUCCUUGCUCCCCUGGCUCCCUCUCCACCCCCUUCCUCCUCCUCUCCCCCACUCUCCUCAGCCCCUCAGUCUCUCGUCCCUUCUUCAUCAUCACGUGCUCUGACCCCCUCCCUCUUGGUGUCUGUCCCUCACCUCCCCCUACUCUGACUCCCCUCCCUCAUGGUGUCUGUCUCUCACGUCCCCCCCAUUUCCUGACUCCCCACCUUUUCAUUCCGCCUUUUGAAGACCUUCACACCACCCUGCUCUCCCCACUCACCACUCUGCCUUGGCCAGUGUGCUCCCUGCUGUGCUGCCCCCAGGCCACCACCCUGGAGAGGAGGGGGAUGGUGGGGCGAGGGCGGGGUCCAGGCCACUUCCUGGGAAGUUCCUCUUCCUCUCAGGCUCCCUGCUCUCCUGCCCCUUUCCCCCUUUCUCUCCCRCUCCCCAUCCCUUCCUCAUCUUUGCUGUUUUUUCCAGAACCUUUUCUUGCUUUCCCCCUGCUCUCCUCUUCUGCGUCCCUUGGCCACCUUGGCCCCCACUCCUCUGAGGCACUAGGAGCUGCUUCCCUGUGCCCUGAGCUUCGGGGCCUUUUAUCUUCUCUUCCUUGA
rnacentral:lncRNA from 1 species